rnacentral:rRNA from 1 species
CCUACGGGAGGCAGCAGUGAGGAAUAUUGGUCAAUGGACGAGAGUCUGAACCAGCCAAGUAGCGUGAAGGAUGACUGCCCUAUGGGUUGUAAACUUCUUUUAUAUGGGAAUAAAACGUUCCACGUGUGGGAUUUUGUAUGUACCAUAUGAAUAAGGAUCGGCUAACUCCGUGCCAGCAGCCGCGGUAAUACGGAGGAUCCGAGCGUUAUCCGGAUUUAUUGGGUUUAAAGGGAGCGUAGGUGGAUUGUUAAGUCAGUUGUGAAAGUUUGGGGCUCAACGGUAAAAUUGCAGUUGAAACUGGCAGUCUUGAGUGCAGUAGAGGGGGGCGGAAUUCGUGGUGUAGCGGUGAAAUGCGUAGAUAUCACGAAGAACACCGAUUGCGAAGGCAGUUCACUGGACUGCAACUGACACUGAGGCUCGAAAGUGUGGGUAUCAAACAGGAUUAGAUACCCGUGUAGUC